UAACGACGGGGCAGACAGGCACCGGAGCUAGCUCUGGCUAACUUAGCUAACGUCGGCUUUCCCACCGGCGGGGGCUGAGCUCACGUCUGCGGGCCGAAGGCAAACACUCCCGUGGGCGUUUGCCGGAGGAGAGCUGCGCUGGCGUGGGGCUCUGAGAGCGCUCAGGUGAAGAGGAGCGAAACGGCGCAGAGGUGUAAAGGGCUACUAAACCUAGCGGGCUAACUGCUUAGCAGCAUUAGCACGGGGGAUGUUCCCCUCAGCCGCUCCGCUUGCAGGUGAGGUAGGAGGAGAGGGGCUUUUGAGCCGCAGUGGUUCUCCGGGCGCCACCAAGGCCACGAUAUUCUCCUUCUUGGACAACCAGAAAGCCGGGUAGAGAGGCUCCAGGAAGUCUGCCUUGUACUCGUGGAUGAGCAUCAUGGUGUCCUCCACACCGUAGAAAGCCAGGAGGCCCCGCGUGUAGUCCACGUACACCCCGAUACGGGUGAACUUGGCCACGUUGAGAGGGGUUUCAACGCCGCUGUGCCAGGCGGAGAAGGUGCGUCCGUUCCACUGAAGACACCAGGAGAAGUUGUUUCCCGUGAUGCAGCUGUUGCUCUCGUUGCCUUUGCGAUCGAUGCUCUUGUAGGUCAGACCGAUGUGUGUGCCCUCGCCGCUGAUGUCUACCUCAAAGUACUGCCGGCCCAGGUAGAAGCUCUCCGUGGCCAGAACUUGCCGCCAGUUCUCAAACCGCUCGGGCACAUCGGGAUAAGGAUGCUGCCAGGGUGUGGUGUUGGUCACCUUCCUGUUCUCUUCUGUCAGACGCAGGAACCUGUGAGCUGUGUCGGCGUCGAAAUGCACCUGGGCGGCAUCUGGGACAGGAAAAUGUUCGUUAGCUACAGCCUCGGAUCUUGUGACGAAACUCUGCAAGCAGUCACCUGACCUAGACUUCACCUGCGGGCAGUUGUGCCUUUGCUGCUGAAAUUCAACUUGCUACCUCACCUCUCUGCUUAAAACUCAUUUUCAUAAACUUGAAUUUCUUCAUUAGUUGGUCCAUAAUUUCCAUGACACUUAACUUCUGCCUUGUAUUGUACCAUUGUAUUAAUGUUUGUGGAUAUUGUUUGUUUGUUUGUUUUUUAGUUUAUUUGCUUCUGAUUGUGUUUUGUGAAGCACCUCUACACACUUACCCCUACAUAGUAUAUCAUUAGAUUAUACUCAUUUAUGCAUUAAUGUUUGAACGCUUGUUGGUUGGGGUGGAGCUCAUUUUGGACUAUUUUUUAUAAAGAGCUGGGACUUAUGAUUAUUUCCGUUAUGGACUAACCUUCUGUUUAUUUAGUCGAUCAAUCUGCUGGUUUGUAAAAACAUCGGAAAAUAAUGCCUUGUUUUGUCCGAGCAGCAGUUCCAACCUCAAAAUGAUUCGGUUUACUGUAAUUUAGCACAAAGUAAAGCAGGAUAUCCUGAGAUUCGAGAAGCUGAAACUAUGAAAUCGCUGGCGUUUUGGCAUGAAAAAUUACUUAACGACUAUUUAGUUAUCAUAUUCAUAUUUUAGAUGCACAAGUCUGUCCGGAUAGCACUCACAGUGUUACAAACCUGCCUUUGACACUUCCAUCAUCUGUCGCUUCUGUUAUUUUUGCCUUUUACACCACUUCACGGAUUUGUAGAUAUAACUAAUGCCAGAGCAGAGAGGCUUGACGCCUGAUGGCAGCUAACGUCAGCAGAAACAGCACACUGGUGGUGCAGGUGUAAAAAUAAAAAAAACCCAUGUUUUGGCACUGUGAUAAAUGUCUGUCAUAGUUUAUAACGUAAUGGCUUCUCGUCCUUUGUGUCCAGAUGGAAUUAGUGUCAGACAAUUGCAAUAGAAAUUCACUACCCGUGGUUUAAUGGUAGCCCCAGUCUGUGCCUCUCGGGCCACAGAGGUAAAAGAUAAAUGCUCAGGAAUGUCUGAGAAACCCAGAGGGUCAUUCAACACCACUCAACUCUUUUUCAAACAUGACUGGUAUUUAUCUUAUAGAGAAACGGAUGCUUACUGCUGUGAUUCAAAUGUAAUGCAAAUACAAGUUUACGGGUUUAUGUUUGGUUUAAAGAAAACAGCAGCUUUAAACAAAACAGGGGUGUGAGUUAUGUAAAGAGUCCUCCAAAAGCUUUUCUACAGUGGAACAUGGGCUGCAAACCGGAAGUUAUUUCAUUCUAAUGUCUUCUAUUGUCCUCUCA